rnacentral:rRNA from 1 species
UAAUCGCGCAUCAGCCACGGCGCGGUGAAUACGUUCCCGGGCCUUGUACACACCGCCCGUCAAGCCAUGGAAGCCGGGAGUGCCUGAAGUGCGUGACCGCAAGGAGCGUCCUAAGGCAAUACCGGUGACUGGGGCUAAGUCGUAACAAGGUACC